GAACAGGUGAGAAUGCUGCAGCAAGCGCAUA
rnacentral:piRNA from 1 species